rnacentral:rRNA from 1 species
GAGUGGCGGACGGGUGAGUAACACGUAGGUAACCCGCCCAGAAGCGGGGGACAACAUUUGGAAACAGAUGCUAAUACCGCAUAACAGCGUUGUUCGCAUGAACAACGCUUAAAAGAUGGCUUCUCGCUAUCACUUCUGGAUGGACCUGCGGUGCAUUAGCUUGUUGGCGGGGUAACGGCCUACCAAGGCGAUGAUGCAUAGCCGAGUUGAGAGACUGAUCGGCCACAAUGGGACUGAGACACGGCCCAUACUCCUACGGGAGGCAGCAGUAGGGAAUCUUCCACAAUGGGCGCAAGCCUGAUGGAGCAACACCGCGUGAGUGAAGAAGGGUUUCGGCUCGUAAAGCUCUGUUGUUAAAGAAGAACACGUAUGAGAGUAACUGUUCAUACGUUGACGGUAUUUAACCAGAAAGUCACGGCUAACUACGUGCCAGCAGCCGCGGUAAUACGUAGGUGGCAAGCGUUAUCCGGAUUUAUUGGGCGUAAAGAGAGUGCAGGCGGUUUUCUAAGUCUGAUGUGAAAGCCUUCGGCUUAACCGGAGAAGUGCAUCGGAAACUGGAUAACUUGAGUGCAGAAGAGGGUAGUGGAACUCCAUGUGUAGCGGUGGAAUGCGUAGAUAUAUGGAAGAACACCAGUGGCGAAGGCGGCUACCUGGUCUGCAACUGACGCU